GACCAAGUGGCCUAAUGGGUGAGGUAUCGUCUGGAGCUGGGGAUUGUGGGUUUGAGUCCCACCUGGGUUG
rnacentral:tRNA from 1 species